GGCGGUUUUAGGCUUCAAAACAGGAAAUGGCCAGUAUUUGGCAAUCAGUUUCGGAACAAGUAUGUGCAGUAAUUAAUUGUUUGAGUCAAAUGAGUACACGUAAGAGCUGUGCACAGAUAUCGAUUAGACUGUCUGGUUUAUGUACUCAGAAUUAACUUGCUGCAGGUCUGUCUUCACUGUAAAGUCCUACUCAGCUCAUUAACGCUGUACCAAAUGCAAAAAGUGUGGACGCACUCAGAUCAGGUUAAAGGACGGUUCUGAGAUGUACAGCACGCAGGAAACGUUUGUUCGUUUCAACUUAUUUCAACCCACUUCGUUUUCGAAAAUAAACCCUCAGUCCUGUAAAUACUUCAACACUGAAAGUGCCCUUUUCGCUUCUCUUUUUCCAUUCGCCAGACGCCCGCUGUCUUUUUAAAGACACUUGGCACAACGCCUGCCUCCUGUCAAUCAGGUAUCCCUCAGGGAACAGCAAUCUCGCUUUCCUAUUGGUGAAACCCGGGCGAUUAGGCGAGGAGCCGAGCGGUGUCCGCGCUGUUAUUGGCGUCAGGAGAUGUCAGUCAGGGAGGGCUGUGUUUCGUUCUUCCUCACUGAGUGGAUUCACUGAGCGAGAGAAAGAGGAGGAGCAGGGGCGUGUGGUGAACUGUCUGUCUUCAGUCUCUCAGACAGAAACCUUUGCGCCUUACUUAUUUCCCAGACUGGGAGGGAAAGCGGACUCUUUUAUUUCUAUAUAUCACCAGAUACACAUAUUAGAAAAAAUGCGUCUCCAUCGAAAAUGUUGGACAUUAUGUACCAUAAGUAUCAUAGUCAUUUGUUUUAAAACAAAGGAUAUAACAAGAUCGGAGCACCAGCAAACGCAAAUGGGAGAUGGAGAGGCGAUUCCAACCAGACUGAUGAUUAACACCUCCAAUAAAGCAAACAGGAAGAAUGUGCUUCCACGUUUCGAACACUCUGUGGAAGGUUGGAAAAACAAUGCGUCCUUAGUAAUCAAGAUCAGGAAGGAUAUCCUUCGCUUUUUAGAUGCUGAGAGAGAUAUAUCAGUGGUGAAAAGCAGUUUGAAACCAGGAGAUAUAAUUCAUUAUGUGCUGGACAGGCGUCGAACCCUCAACAUCUCUCACAAUUUGCACAGGCUUCUCCCUGAAGUGUCCCCGAUGAAGAACAAGCGAUUCAGUACUUGUGCAGUUGUUGGAAAUUCUGGGAUUCUUCUGGGUAGUGGAUGUGGGAAGGAGAUUGACAGUCAUGAAUUUAUAAUAAGGUGUAAUCUUGCACCCCUUGUGGAAUACGCUAAUGAUGUUGGACUCAAAUCUGAUUUUGUCACUAUGAAUCCGUCAGUCGUGCAAAGAGCUUUUGGAAGUCUUCGGAAUGAGACAGACCGAGAGAAAUUUGUCAACAGACUGACAGUGUUGAAUGACAGUGUUCUGUGGAUCCCUGCGUUCAUGGUCAAAGGUGGGGAAAAAUACGUUGAAUAUGUAAAUGAGCUGAUUCUGAAGAACAGACUGAAUAUUCAGACAGCUUACCCAUCCCUGCGGCUCAUACAUGCUGUCCGAGGAUACUGGCUGACAAACAAGAUUUACAUCAAGCGACCAAGCACUGGCUUAUUGAUGUACACACUUGCAACUCGAUUCUGUGAUGAAAUUCACCUGUAUGGAUACUGGCCCUUCCCAAAAGAUUCAAAAGGAACACCAGUUAAAUACCACUACUAUGACAACCUAAAGUAUAGAUAUUUUUCUAAUGCUGGGCCACAUCGGAUGCCACUGGAAUUCAAAACAUUAAAAUCUUUACAUGACAAAGGAGCUCUGAAGCUAACAACUGGGAAAUGUGUGUAACCUAGAAGCCACAGCUAAACCCAGAGUUAGUGCAAUAUUUGCACACUAUAGAUUUUAUGUGAAAAGAUAACGCCUCAGUAAUAAUUACAACAAUGCUGUAAAGUGCCCAUUCACCCAGCUGCGUUUACAGCCUCAGAUUGUUGUGAAGAAAUAAUAAAUAUAAUCGCACUGUGAGGAGUAAAGAUCAAGCAGUGAUGUGUUAACAAUGAUUGAAUAUUGAUUGACAGAAUGGUUCAGGCCUGUGAUCACUGUCAUCAGAAGUAGGGCUCUGCAUUUGUUGUAGCCUCAGAAGACCUGAGAAAUAAUCAGGCUUAGUGUUAACGAGAGGUCAGUAUUUGUCUUGAGCAGCUGUCUCAGCAAGCAAUCAAUGCCAAAGUGCUUUCAAGGUGUUAUACAUCUGAGUCACAGUCUCAAUCCACAACAUUCUUAUCUACUUAUGUGAAUCAGCCAAGGGUAAUAUCCGUUAUAAGAGUUAUGAGAGGACUGAAGGCCUGUUAGCACUCCAGUUCGGUAUCGUUGGUAGUUUUAUAGCUCAAUGAAUGUAAAGCAGUUGUCUUAUGUAAUGUGCUGAAUGUGAACUGUAAAAAGUUAAAGGUGCCCUUUCUGCUGGUACCAAAGAUCCUGUAAGAAGUUACUUGUAAAGACUAACAUUUUGGGAAUUACUAGGGUAAAGUGUCUUGUGCAAUUACUACAUGGUUUUAGGAGGAGGAAACAGGAGAUAAAGAAGUGGUCAGAAUAAAAAGCACAAGUCUUAUUUAGACAGAAGCACAGAUUACCAGAUCCUUAAAGCAUGAGGAAUUGUUUGAUUUCAAUCAAAUUAUUACAUUUCAAAAGUUCACUCAUGAACCAAUUCCUCUGCCAAGCCUUCUGAUUCAUGCUGUGAGUAGUGGAAAAACCCUACUGAUGAUGCAUUUUCUUAUUAACCACAGAACUGCCAUCAGCACCAUUUCUCCUUUCUGUAAAUAUGAUGUAAUGUAUUUGGAUCAAAUUGUAUAUUCUGUGGUAGCAUUGUAAAGAUUCUGCUUGUUUUUUUAAGUUAUUUGUUUAUGCAAUUCUUUAAAACUCAUCUCGGAGGAUUGCAGGUCUCCAGUGCCUGAUCCCAGUUGCUGGUGUUGAGGUGUGUCUCUUGCUACACUAAAUAGACAUGUGGUUGUAGUGAAGAUCUGACAACAACACUGGGAACUGGCAAAAGUAAUUCAGGACUUUCUCAGACUUGGAACCUUGCUAUGUUUAAAAUUAUUUCUACAGAUUGUUUGCUGCAAAUAUUGGAAUAGAACCACAGUCUUCGAGUGACUUGGAAAUUACUUGAGCUACACUGCUGUUACAAUUUUAAAAAUUUACAUACACUGGAAACUCCUUAAGGCAGUUAUGCACAGGUUUUCUGGGUCUACUCAUUUGCAUUUCCAUCGAUAUAAGUAUUGGUGUGAGAAUAGCGUAAAACUGUUACAAGCAAGUGAAUGGCCUGCAAACCUACGCACAGCCUUUUAAAACAAUUUUUAACAGACUGGUUGACAAAAAGAAAAGUAAGGAGCAGUGCUCACUAACUCUCAAAUAAUUUCUGUCUUAGCAAUUUUUUAAUUUGUAACUGAUGAGUAUCCAGAAAGCAGAAGGAUAUGGAACCAAACCAGAGACAAGGAAUUUACACUUUUAGUCAGACGUUUCAGCCAUUCUUCAUGGUUAUUGAAGGAACUCCUCAUUUCCAUCUUAAUCAGCUGGACCAGAGGAUUAUUCGGAGAAAUCAGAAAUGAGUCAAAAGGAAAAAUAGCUGUAAACUGUUAUAAAAGUGAGUAAAUUAGUGGUUUUGUAGAAAACUGAUUAUUGCAGUUAUUCACACAUCAGGAUUUACCUUACUGGGAAAUAUAAAGAAAAAUAUUUUACUUAAUCCAGCUAAAAGGAAAAGCAAGGCUUGUCCACAGAUGUCUGCUGCCUUCCUCAAGAAAACUGAAUUGCUUUGAAAUCAUCUUGAGCUGUAAACAAACAAAAUGUAUGUGUCAUGACACCCAACUGUGAAAAAUCCUUUAUUCUUGCAGGUUAAUGUCCUGUUUUAUAUAUAUGUUUUAUUUAUGAGUCCUGGAAGCUUUAUUACAUUUUGUUACAAUUCUGUGUGAAAGCAAAUAAAGGUUUUAAUAAGGUUUACUUUCAAACACUUCAAAUAUUCAGCUCUUUUUCAUUCUAAUUUCCUGUCUUCCUUUUCGCAUCGUUGGAAUUGAUUUUCACUAGUUAUGGAUGGAAAAUGAAUGCUUAUGGAUUGUUCUGAUGGUUUAGCCUUUCUUCAUGGGCAACUAAUGUACAACCCCCAUACAUGAGAAAAGUGAUUGUUACAUCUAUUCACUUGUCAUUAGAAAACUGUUUCAUGUUCAGAAUGCUAGUUGUUUGUCUAGUGUGUCUUCCAAAUGGUUUUUAAUUUGUGUUUGAUACAUGGCAUUGACAGGAUCCUCCACCACAAGGCUAUCAGACACAAACCUAGGUAUGCCCUCAUCUAAAGUCCAUACACAUGUUGAAAGGAAAGGCAAAAUCGCUUUAGUCCCACUCUCAUGAGAGAGAGAGAGAGAGACAGCUGCUGGUGGUUUAAUGUGAGGGUUAUCAUGCCUCAGGCAAGGGAUGAGGUUUAGAAGGUGGGAUCUUCAUAGCUGUUCCAGGAAUUGAACCUGUGCUGUUAGUGCCUCUCUGCGUUACAGACUGACUGCCUUUGUUGACACAUUCAUACGUGCUAUGUGGCAAUUUAAAUCACAUUCAUAAUAGUUAUAUUUCAUUCCAUUUUACUAUCUAUUUAAUUUUUAAUGUAUAUUCUUCCCCAAUACUGAUUAUACAAGUUGAUUUUUAAAAAAAUCUGUUUGAGCUAUAAUAUUAAACUUGCUGCAUGAAAAUUCAAUGCUAGUCUUGAUUA